UCUAGAACAAUUCAAAAACCAGACAAAACCACAAGGCAAAGUUGAAUGGGAGAAGGUGACAAGCGGUGACCAAGCAGUAAAGCUGAGAAUGAAUCAUUGGAACAGCUUCAAGAGGAGAAACUGAAGGAGCUUUGUGUCAGAAUAUUCCAUAGUCAAGUGGUCAGGGCCCUCACCUGACAGCUAGUAGAUGCCUCUUCAAAUCCCUUCUUCCCCAUAGGCAGAGGUGGCACUUCAAUUGGGAUUUGUCUCACAUCCCAGCACUGUUCCUUAUUGACAAGGCUACUUGUACUGGAGUGGAAAGGCUAGAGGUCAGCAUUCACAUGCAGCAUAUGAGAUGGGCCGAGCACUGCUGGAACAUACAGUUUGUGGGACAGUACUUUGUCAUGGCUUGGUAAGAUAUAUUUAAAUAUAUGAUCCUAUUUCGAUACAUGCCCAUUAGGAACUGUUUGCUUACUGUCAAUAGGGAUCUCAAGAGACUGUUUCUAAGAGGACUGUUCCUGAUUUGCGUGUUUAGAAUCACAAACUUUGGUAACAGUGAAUAUUGUCAUGUUCCAUCUUACAUUUCUGUGGAUGUAAAUUUCUUUGUGUAUAUUACUGGAUGGCAGCUUAUUUGG